rnacentral:rRNA from 1 species
AAUAGAUACCCAGGUAGUCCACGCCGUAAACGAUGNGUGCUAAGUGUUAGAGGUUUCCGACCCUUUAGUGCUGCAGCUAACGCAUUAAGCACUCCGCCUGGGGAGUACGGCCGCAAGGCUGAAACUCAAAGGAAUUGACGGGGGCCCGCACAAGCGGUGGAGCAUGUGGUUUAAUUCGAAGCAACGCGAAAGAACCUUACCAGGUCUUGACAUCCUCUGACACUCCUAGAGAUAGGACGUUCCCCUUCGGGGGACAGAGUGACAGGUGGUGCAUGGUUGUCGUCAGCUCGUGUCGUGAGAUGUUGGGUUAAGUCCCGCAACGAGCGCAACCCUUGUUCUUAGUUGCCAGCAUUCAGUUGGGGCACUCUAAGGAGACUGCCGGUGACAAACCGGAGGAAGGUGGGGAUGACGUCAAAUCAUCAUGCCCCUUAUGACCUGGGCUACACACGUGCUACAAUGGAUGGUACAAAGGGCAGCAAAGCCGCGAGGCCUAGCCAAUCCCAUAAAAACCAUUCUCAGUUCGGAUUGUAGG